AAAUUCGAUUCCGUAAGUAGCGGCGAGCGAACGCGGAUUAGCCCAAACCAAUAAAGUUUUCUUUAUUGGGGUUGCGGACAUAUCAUAACGAAGAGAUAUCGUAAUUGAAGAGGUUUGGAAAGACCCACCACAGAAGGUAAUAGUCCUGUAUGUUAAACGAGAAGACUUUAGAUAUGAUCCAGAGUACCACGGGACACGUGAAACCCUGUGGGAAGCAGGAGGGACCACCCUCCAAGGCUAAAUACUACCUAGUGACCGAUAGCGUAUAGUACCGUGAGGGAAAGGUGAAAAGAACCCCGGGAGGGGAGUGAAAUAGAACCUGAAACCCUGCACUUACAAGCUGUGGAAGCACAUUUCUUGUGUGACCGCGUACUUUUUGUAGAACGGGCCAACGAGUUACGUUAAGUAGCAAGGUUAAGCACUUAAGGUGUGGAGCCGUAGCGAAAGCGAGUUUUAACUGAGCGUUCAGUUACUUGACGUAGACCCGAAACCGGGCGACCUACCCAUGAGCAGGAUGAAGCGAAAGUAAAAUUUCGUGGAGGUCCGAACCCACGAGCGUUGAAAAGCUCGGGGAUGACUUGUGGGUAGCGGUGAAAUUCCAAUCGAGCCCGGAGAUAGCUGGUUCUCCCCGAAAUAGCUUUAGGGCUAGCCUCAAGGUGAGAGAUACGGAGGUAGAGCACUGAAUGUCCUAGGGGGUAUUGCACCUACCGAAGACUAUCAAACUCCGAAUGCCGUCAUCUUAUACUUGGGAGUCAGACUGUGGGUGAUAAGAUUCAUAGUCGAAAGGGCAACAGCCCAGAUCGUCAGCUAAGGUCCCUAAAUGUAAGUUAAGUGGUAAAGGAUGUGGGAUUGCACAGACAACCAGGAUGUUGGCUUAGAAGCAGCCACUCAUUCAAAGAGUGCGUAAUAGCUCACUGGUCGAGUGAUCCUGCGCCGAAGAUUUCCGGGGCUAAAACUUACUACCGAAGCUACGGCAUCAGUAAUGAUGGGUAGGGGAGCUUCCCAUACGGGUUGAAGCAUGACCGUAAGGACAUGUGGACAGUAUGGGAGUGAGAAUGUUGGCAUGAGUAGCGAGAUGUGGGUGAGAAUCCCACAGGCCGUAAACCCAAGGUUUCCAGGGGAAGGUUCGUCCGCCCUGGGUUAGUCGGGACCUAAGCUGAGGCCGAAAGGCGUAGGUGAUGGACAACAGGUUGAUAUUCCUGUACUACCGAUAACCGUUUGAGAGAAGGGAUGACACAGUAGGAUAAGCUAAGCACACUGUUGGUUAUGUGUGCCCAAGCAUUGAGGCAGUCAAAGUAGGCAAAUCCGCUUUGAUAAUGCUGGGAUGUGAUGGGGAGCGAAAUUUAGUAGCGAAGUAGCUGAUUUCACACUGUCAAGAAAAGUCUCUAUCGAGGUUAAAGGUACCCGUACCGCAAACCGACACAGGUGGGUGAGGAGAGUAUCCUAAGGCCAGCGAGAGAACUGUUGUUAAGGAACUCGGCAAAAUGACCCCGUAACUUAGGGAUAAGGGGUGCCACCAUCAGGUGGCCGCAGAGAAUAGGCCCAAGCGACUGUUUACCAAAAACAUAGGUUUCUGCUAAGUCGCAAGACGAUGUAUAGGAGCUGACGCCUGCCCGGUGCUGGAAGGUUAAGGGGAUCUGUUAGAGCAAUCGAAGCAGUGAACUUAAGCCCCAGUAAACGGCGGCCGUAACUAUAACGGUCCUAAGGUAGCGAAAUUCCUUGUCGGGUAAGUUCCGACCCGCACGAAAGGCGUAACGAUUUGGGCACUGUCUCAACAACAGACUCGGUGAAAUUGUAAUUCCGGUGAAGAUGCCGGAUACCUGCGACAGGACGGAAAGACCCCAUGGAGCUUUACUGUAGCUUGACAUUGGGUCUUGGUACUACAUGUACAGGAUAGGUGGGAGGCUUUGAAACCAGGACGCCAGUUUUGGCGGAGCCAUCCUUGGGAUACCACCCUUGUAGUACUGGGACUCUAACCAUAGGCCAUGAAUCUGGUCUUGGGACACUGUCAGGUGGGCAGUUUGACUGGGGCGGUCGCCUCCCAAAAGGUAACGGAGGCGCUCAAAGGUUCUCUCAGUACGGUCGGAAAUCGUACGUAGAGUGUAAAGGCAAAAGAGAGCUUGAUUGCAAGACAUACAGGUCGAGCAAGGAUGAAAAUCGGACUUAGUGAUCCGGUGGUU
rnacentral:rRNA from 1 species